rnacentral:rRNA from 1 species
GAUGAACGCUAGCUACAGGCUUAACACAUGCAAGUCGAGGGACCGGCGCACGGGUGAGUAACACGUAUCCAACCUGCCCUUUACUCGGGGAUAGCCUUUCGAAAGAAAGAUUAAUACCCGAUAUAAAGGAUGGGAAUGCGUUCCAUUAGGUUGUUGGUGAGGUAACGGCCCACCAAGCCUUCGAUGGAUAGGGGUUCUGAGAGGAAGGCUCCCCGCAUUGGAACUGAGGCACGGUACAAACGCCUACGGGAGGCAGCAGUGAGGAAUAUUAGUCAAUGGGCGUUAGCCUGAACCAGCCAAGUAGCGUGAAGGAUGAAGGCUUAUUGGUCGUAAACUUCUUUUAUAUAAGAAUAUGUAUCAUAUGAAUAAGGAUCGGCUAACUCCGUGCCAGCAGCCGCGGUAAUUC